UACGAAGGGGGGCUAGCGUUGCUCGGAAUCACUGGGCGUAAAGGGUGCGUAGGCGGACUUAUAAGUCAGUGGUGAAAUCUCCCAGCUUAACUGGGAAACUGCCAUUGAAACUAUUUGUCUUGAGUACAUUUGAGGCGGGCGGAAUGUGUCAUGUAGAGGUGAAAUUCUUAGAUAUGACACAGAACACCAAUUGCGAAGGCAGCUCGCUAAACUGUAACUGACGCUGAGGCACGAAAGCGUGGGGAUCAAACAGG
rnacentral:rRNA from 1 species